AGAGUUUGAUCCUGGCUCAGGAUGAACGCUGGCGGCGUGCCUAAUACAUGCAAGUCGAACGAAGCGAUUUGGGAAAUUUAUUUUUCAGAUUGACUGAGUGGCGAACGGGUGAGUAAGACAUAAGUAAUCUGCCGUAAAGACUGGGAUAACUUUGAGAAAUUAAAGCUAAGACCGGAUAGGAAUUAUUGAGGCAUCUUAAUAAUUUUAAAGGGGCUUAUGGCCUUGUUAUACGAUGAGCUUAUGGCGCAUUAGCUAGUUGGUAAGGUAAUGGCUUACCAAGGCGAUGAUGCGUAGCCGGCCUGAGAGGGUGACCGGCCACACUGGGACUGAGACACGGCCCAGACUCCUACGGGAGGCAGCAGUAGGGAAUUUUCGGCAAUGGGGGCAACCCUGACCGAGCGACGCCGCGUGAGUGAAGACGGUCUUCGGAUUGUAAAGCUCUGUUAUCAGGGAAGAAUAAGGUUAUCAGGAAAUGGAUAAUCGAUGACGGUACCCGAGGAACAAGCCACGGCUAACUACGUGCCAGCAGCCGCGGUAAUACGUAGGUGGCGAGCGUUGUCCGGAAUUACUGGGUGUAAAGGGCGUGUAGGCGGGAUGUCAAGUCAGAUGUGAAAUUCCGAGGCUUAACUUCGGGGGUGCAUCUGAAACUGAUAUUCUUGAGUGUCGGAGAGGAAAGUGGAAUUCCCAGUGUAGCGGUGAAAUGCGUAGAGAUUGGGAGGAACACCAGUGGCGAAGGCGGCUUUCUGGACGAUAACUGACGCUGAGGCGCGAAAGCGUGGGUAGCAAACAGGAUUAGAUACCCUGGUAGUCCACGCUGUAAACGAUGGAUACUAGGUGUAGGAGGUAUCGACCCCUUCUGUGCCGGAGUUAACACAAUAAGUAUCCCACCUGGGGAGUACGGCCGCAAGGCUGAAACUCAAAGGAAUUGACGGGGGCCCGCACAAGCAGUGGAGUAUGUGGUUUAAUUUGAAGCAACGCGAAGAACCUUACCAGGGCUUGACAUCCCUCUGACAGGCUUAGAGAUAAGUCUUUUUUUUUGAACAGAGGUGACAGGUGGUGCAUGGUUGUCGUCAGCUCGUGUCGUGAGAUGUUGGGUUAAGUCCCGCAACGAGCGCAACCCCCGUUGUUAGUUGCCAUCAUUAAGUUGGGCACUCUAACGAGACUGCCGGUGACAAAUCGGAGGAAGGUGGGGGGGACGUCAAAUCGUCAUGCCCCUUAUGUCCUGGGCUACACACGUACUACAAUGGCGAUUACAGAGGGCAGCAACAUCGCAAGGUAGAGCAAAUCCCCAAAAGUCGCCCCAGUUCGGAUUGCAGGCUGAAACUCGCCUGCAUGAAGUCGGAAUUGCUAGUAAUGGCAGGUCAGCAUACUGCCGUGAAUAAGUUCCCGGGCCUUGUACACACCGCCC
rnacentral:rRNA from 1 species